rnacentral:rRNA from 1 species
UGGGGAAUAUUGCACAAUGGACGAAAGUCUGAUGCAGCGACGCCGCGUGAGGGAAGAAGGUAUUCGUAUUGUAAACCUCUGUCUUCGGGGACGAUAAUGACGGUACCCGAGGAGGAAGCCACGGCUAACUACGUGCCAGCAGCCGCGGUAAAACGUAGGUGGCAAGCGUUGUCCGGAAUUACUGGGUGUAAAGGGAGCGCAGGCGGAAAGGUAAGUUGAAUGUGAAAUCUAUGGGCUCAACCCAUAAAUUGCGUUCAAAACUAUCUUUCUUGAGUGAUGUAGAGGUAGGCGGAAUUCCUGGUGUAGCGGUGGAAUGCGUAGAUAUCAGGAGGAACACCGGUGGCGAAGGCGGCCUACUGGGCAUUUACUGACGCUGAGGCUCGAAAGCAUGGGUAGCAAACA